rnacentral:rRNA from 1 species
AUGGCCAUCUGCUGGUGCUGGUUUUCUCAAGCCACCACGGUGGUGGACGAGGAGCUGAGGUGGAACAAAAAUCAGAAGCCCGCGGAUCGAGUUCGAGCUCAUCAACUGAGGAUUCCUUGGUGGAGCGACUACGCCAACAGUUGGCUGCUGGUCUUCGCCGGUACUCGGAUUCUUCUAGCCGAAUGGUGGCUAUCUCGAUUCCUUCCGGCCUGUGUGCCUUAUGGGAGGCAGUUUUUUUUUGCGGGUAUAUGGGAGGCAGUUUCAGCCGCGGUUCGGAGGCUAUGGUGUGCAGUUGGUGCAACCGUGGCAAUUUCAUCGCGCCAACUGGUUUAUCCCCGGUGGCGGCGAGGUUCGGUCCGAGCGAUGGCUGUCAAGGACCUGAUCGUUUUUCUUAAUUUCAAUUUGGGGACCUCCAUGUAA